rnacentral:rRNA from 1 species
AUUGAACGCUGGCGGCAGGCCUAACACAUGCAAGUCGAACGGUAACAGGAAACAGCUUGCUGUUUCGCUGACGAGUGGCGGACGGGUGAGUAAUGUCUGGGAAACUGCCUGAUGGAGGGGGAUAACUACUGGAAACGGUAGCUAAUACCGCAUAACGUCGCAAGACCAAAGAGGGGGACCCUCGGGCCUCUUGCCAUCGGAUGUGCCCAGAUGGGAUUAGCUUGUUGGUGGGGUAACGGCUCACCAAGGCGACGAUCCCUAGCUGGUCUGAGAGGAUGACCAGCCACACUGGAACUGAGACACGGUCCAGACUCCUACGGGAGGCAGCAGUGGGGAAUAUUGCACAAUGGGCGCAAGCCUGAUGCAGCCAUGCCGCGUGUAUGAAGAAGGCCUUCGGGUUGUAAAGUACUUUCAGCGGGGAGGAAGGGAGUAAAGUUAAUACCUUUGCUCAUUGACGUUACCCGCAGAAGAAGCACCGGCUAACUCCGUGCCAGCAGCCGCGGUAAUACGGAGGGUGCAAGCGUUAAUCGGAAUUACUGGGCGUAAAGCGCACGCAGGCGGUUUGUUAAGUCAGAUGUGAAAUCCCCGGGCUCAACCUGGGAACUGCAUCUGAUACUGGCAAGCUUGAGUCUCGUAGAGGGGGGUAGAAUUCCAGGUGUAGCGGUGAAAUGCGUAGAGAUCUGGAGGAAUACCGGUGGCGAAGGCGGCCCCCUGGACGAAGACUGACGCUCAGGUGCGAAAGCGUGGGGAGCAAACAGGAUUAGAUACCCUGGUAGUCCACGCCGUAAACGAUGUCGACUUGGAGGUUGUGCCCUUGAGGCGUGGCUUCCGGAGCUAACGCGUUAAGUCGACCGCCUGGGGAGUACGGCCGCAAGGUUAAAACUCAAAUGAAUUGACGGGGGCCCGCACAAGCGGUGGAGCAUGUGGUUUAAUUCGAUGCAACGCGAAGAACCUUACCUGGUCUUGACAUCCACGGAAGUUUUCAGAGAUGAGAAUGUGCCUUCGGGAACCGUGAGACAGGUGCUGCAUGGCUGUCGUCAGCUCGUGUUGUGAAAUGUUGGGUUAAGUCCCGCAACGAGCGCAACCCUUAUCCUUUGUUGCCAGCGGUCCGGCCGGGAACUCAAAGGAGACUGCCAGUGAUAAACUGGAGGAAGGUGGGGAUGACGUCAAGUCAUCAUGGCCCUUACGACCAGGGCUACACACGUGCUACAAUGGCGCAUACAAAGAGAAGCGACCUCGCGAGAGCAAGCGGACCUCAUAAAGUGCGUCGUAGUCCGGAUUGGAGUCUGCAACUCGACUCCAUGAAGUCGGAAUCGCUAGCAAUCGUGGAUCAGAAUGCCACGGUGAAUACGUUCCCGGGCCU